ACUCCGUGCCAGCAGCCGCGGUAAUACGGAGACUGCAAGCGUUAUUCGGAUUCACUGGGCGUAAAGGGUGCGCAGGCGGUUAUGUGUGUCAGGUGUGAAAUCUCGGAGCUCAACUCCGAAACUGCGCCUGAAACUACAUGACUAGAGUAUCGGAGAGGUGAGCGGAAUUCAUGGUGUAGCAGUGAAAUGCGUAGAUAUCAUGAGGAACACCAGAGGCGAAGGCGGCUCACUGGA
rnacentral:rRNA from 1 species